rnacentral:rRNA from 1 species
GUAUCAGAAAGGAACCUGAUGAAUAGAAACGAAUUGGAAUUGUGUCGGAAAGUCGCAAAUCUUUACAAUAAUUCCGACUUUCCGACAUCAUUAUUUACAGCGCAGGUCGACACCCAUAUCAAUUUAACAGGUAUUAAUAAAAGCAGGCCUGCGCAGUUCCGGGUAUUUUUAAGGGGUUUUUAGGGUUCUUUUUAUUGUUCGCCGAUUAAAGUGGAACAUGAGUUGGGUUUAGAACGUCGUGAGACAGUUUGGUCCCUAUCUGUCAUAUAUGAUUUAAAACUGAAAGAAUUUACACCUAGUACGAGAGGACCGGUGUAAAUUGGCCUAUGGUGGAUCAAUUGUUUUUAAUAUAAAAGCAUUGUUGAGUAGCUACGCCAAUAGAGUAUAACUACUGAAAGCAUCUCAAGUAGGAAGACUUCCUUUAAAAUAGUUUUAAAAUCCUUUUUUAAAAAGAUUAGUUUGAUUGGUUAUAGAUAAUGACUUUGAUAGGCUUCUAAAUGUGCGUAAUGUAAAUUACUUAGUUUAGAGUACUAAAUAAUCAA